CGGAAUUGUGGUGGCACAGCAUGCUAGGAAAAGCUAGCCUCGCGCUCCUCGCUCUGUCCUCCAUGUUAGCAGAUUUUCUACUACUAGAGGUCAGCUAGCGAGUCCUUUGUUUUUGUUCUCUGCUCACUGCCAUGUAAUGGCUGCCAGCUCGAGCUUCAGCUUUAAUAACAGCGGGGAAUAAGGUUCAAGGCCUCUUCAGGUAUUGCACCCCUUGGUAUGCGGAGUGAGUUUUCACGUUGCUCGUGAGUGUUCAGCAAGCUGAAUAAAAUAAAGCACCCGUUUAGAGACUCUGCGUUGCUUCUUGAAGCCAAGGGCUGCUACAGACCUGCUGUAUUCUGUCUGAACUGUAUUUCCCAAAUCCAGCCUCACUGCUUUCACCUCUACACUCCAAACAUCUGAGAUCUUCUGUCUUAUUCUAACCACCUCGUCCAGUAUAUGAUGCCGCUGAUCCGCAGAACAUCUGAGAUCUUCUAAUUCUAACCACCUCGUCCAGUAUAUGAUGCAACUGAUCCACAGAACAUCUGAGAUCUUCUGUCUAUUUCUAACCACCUCGUCCAGUAUAUGAUGCCGCUGAUCCACAGAACAUCUGAGAUCUUCUGUCUUAUUCUAACCACCUCCUCCAGUAUAUUAUGCUGCUCAUCCAAAGAACACCUGAGAUCUUCUAAUUCUAACCACCUCGUCCAGUAUAUGAUGCCGCUGAUCCACAGAACAUCUGAGAUCUUCUGUCUAAUUCUAACCACCUCGUCCAGUAUAUCAUGCUGCUGAUCCACAGAACAUCUGAGAUCUUCUGUCUAAUUCUAACCACCUCGUCCAGUAUAUGAUGCCGCUGAUCCACAGAACAUCUGAGAUCUUCUUUCUAAUUCUAACCACCUCGUCCAGUAUAUGAUUCUGCUGAUCCAGUAAAGCAUGGGAACGAGAUCCUGAUGCAUGGCCAUGACUUAGUAAGGCGUGGGAAUGAGAUGAUUAAGUUGUGGCCACGACUUAAGUGAAAGUUACCUUAAGUGAAAGAAACCAGAUCCUAAUGCAUGGUCACGAUUUAGUAAGCUGCGAUCUCGUUCCCACACCUUACUAAGUCAUGGCCACACAUUAGGAUCUCGUUCCCACGCGUUAUUAAAGCAUUUAUACAGGAUGUCACCAGCGGGGCUCCUAGUACUGUGGUAGAUAAACGUUUCUUUUGGUGCUAUAAAGUGAUGGUCAAGCCUGUGGAUCAAACAACACACGGUCCAGUCUUUUUAGAAGAGGACAGGGCCACAAACUGGUCUAAAAUGGUUUAGAUGUGUCUUUAUCUUCAGACUAAAGACUGUCAGAAGUGAAUGGAUGUGAAUCCAGAGCUCCUCUCAAACGGUUCCGUCGGGCCUAAGCAGUGCACUUCCAGGGACUCGCUGUGGAAGGCAAAGGAACUCCGGCUCUGUUCAGUGAAUCAGAUCAAUCGGCUCAGCUCGCAAGCCAGAGUCGACUCUUUUGGCUCCUAAACGGCUCUUCAUUUAAUGUUCAAUAAAGUCUUUUUUUGUGCAGUUCUAAUUAAAGCACUAACAAAAAUGCACCGUGUUAGGUUUUGAAGAGAAAAUCGAUUUAAAGAGAAAGUCUUAUGUUGAUAACGAGUUUCACUGGAUGAAUUCCAGUCCUGAGGUCUUGUUAUUUACAGCUACAGUUUCAGAAUAGGCACAAAUUUUGUCUUCGUUUUACAAGAAAUUUGGCCACUUGUUCGCAAAGGUUUUUUCUGUACUGCACGUGUAAACAAUAGGGGGCGCCCGCGCGCUGCGCAUGGAUGUGUUUGUCUCGCUCUAACCUACUGCCUAGGUUCAUGAAGCGCUUCAUGAAUAUCAUAAAUGUUUACGUGUGAAAUAAAAAGUCAGGGUUCCCACGUGUUCCUAAACCUGGAAAUUUCUAGACCACUUUCCAGUAAAUAAACCGCCUGGGGAAAAUAUUUAAAAUGUCCUGCGAAUGUUACUAAAUUCUUGGAAAAGUUUCAAAUUAGACUUUAAGCCACAGAAGUGAAAUAUUUCUGAGUGUUGUUUCUCAGGUCAUUACAUAAAGUGCUCUAUGUACUAAGUAGAAACGGAUCUGCAUUAGAUGCAUUCUUCUCUAACAGCCUGUGAUCUUUACUUCCAGUAUUACAGGACAUUUGUGAUCGAAUGAUAAGGUUGAGUAAUGCCUUCUCUGUGUUUCUGUUGACUUCAGUGUUGAGCAUGUUGGCAGCUGUGGGCCAUUCUAAGAUGAUGCUCCAUGGGCAGUAGCUGCUAUGUACGCAAUAUUUUGGGACACAUUUAAUUCAGAACAAUGGGACCAAACUUCUCACCAUGUGGACAUGAGGGACAGGGAUACAGCCUCCCUUCCUGCUCUAAAAUGUGGGGGUGUGGCUAAAAUAAGGCUCCACCAGCCAACAAAGCUCUUUGCCUUUCUGUAAUGGCAUGAAAAUGUGGGACAACAUCUUUUGAAAAAAAGUUUUUGAUCAAUCUAAAUCUUAUUAAGAUAAAUACAUUUAAAAAUUAUAAUUAUACUAUAUGUUUUUACUGUGGGACCUCAGUAGAAUGGCCCAUAAUGGUUCUUGGCAGACUUUAACAGUGCAGACGUCUUAGGGAUCUGAAAAAGUCAUAUGUAACGCCAUUUAUUUAAAAUAUUAAUAUAAAAAACACUAACAGAAUCAACAUAAACAAACAAGCAAUACAUUGUGAUUUGAUAUCUGUCAGUGUUACUUAUUUUGCAUUAUUGCUAUUGCUGUUAUUGAGCUACAUCAGUGCAAUCAAGCAUCAAAACAUGAAUUAUUGUAAUGAAUUAUUAGUUAAAUAUGACAAUCACAGAUAUUUGAGCUGUGUGUAAAAGUCUGAACUGUAAUUCUGUGAAACAGCUGUGUUGUUGAUUUUCUCAGUGAGAGUAACACACACAACUUACUUAUUUUGACUAUUGUACAGUUAUCAUAGAAUACCUGCUUCAUUAUUUCUUUAAAAUAAAUCGGUUGCUGCUGAGGAAAUUUAAUGUGUUCAAACCUGUGUUCUUCUAACUGUGUUAAUCUAAUUAAGAUCCUGAUAACUGUAAAAUUAUAAAAUAGCAUUGUGAUGAUUGACUGGGGAGAAGGAGGGCCAUCCUAUCUGCUCAGAAAGAGCAAAAUCACCUAUGCUGUCUUGGACUGUCAGACACGGAUGACUGCUUUUUUCCCCCUCACUGAUCAGAUUAAUAAGGGAAAAGGUAGAAAGCACAAAGAGAAAGAACAGAGAUCUGAAAAUCAGGAUCAGGGUAAUGAACGGAGAAAAGACAGAAUAAAGGGAAUAUGAAAGAAUACAGAGUUCCUUGCCAUAUGCUUAAGUUUCUCCUCCAAGCUCAUUCGGUUCAUGACUGUUUAGUCAAAUGUGAUUAACGGUUUUGUUACUGUACACAGCAUUUUACUGUACUGUGACUGAUUAUCAUCUUUAAGUGCUUUCAGGUCGAUUCAGAGUUCUGCCACCCGUAUGUAUAGUAUUUCUUCCAGAAUGUUCUGUCUACUGUUUGGCUCUUUCAGCUUCUUAAUGGCUUGUUCAUAAUUUCUCUGAUGGUCUCCAUCCGUCUUGUUGUUGGCCAUCCUCUUCCUCGUUUAGUUUCAACUGUUCCAAGCAUAUUAUCUUGGAAUAAUUACUGUCAUGAAAAUGUGAACUGCAAAGUGUUAUUUUGAAAAAAGGGCAAUUGACAAACAGUUGUUUUUCAAUGUUUUAUAAUGUACAAUGUCCAAAUAAAAA